rnacentral:rRNA from 1 species
GACGAAGGGGGCUAGCGUUGUUCGGAAUUACUGGGCGUAAAGCGCGUGUAGGCGGUUAUCCAAGUCGGAUGUGAAAGCCUUGAGCUCAACUCAAGAAAUGCAUUCGGAACUGGGUGACUAGAGGACCGGAGAGGAUAGUGGAAUUCCCAGUGUAGUGGUGAAAUACGUAGAGAUUGGGAAGAACACCAGUGGCGAAGGCGGCUAUCUGGACGGUUUCUGACGCUAAGACGCGAAAGCGUGGGGAGCAAACAGG